rnacentral:lncRNA from 1 species
UCUUCUUCAGGGGUGUCCAUGGUAAUCAAAGGUUCAGUCUUAUCAUCUGCCACAAGAAUAGCAGCAGCUCCACCUUUUUGCGCAUUCCAGGCCUUCAAGGUGAAGUAACAAUCUGCAAGUGGGAGUGGUCCAGGUACAUUACCAGCUUGUCUAUAAUAAAUAAAAUUGGAACAAAGAAAUCAACUGAAAUACUAAGCCAGUCUCUACAUGAUAUAGUUACAAAAAUUUCAAAAGCAUGAUUUGGAAUACCAUAGUUUGACUCAGGCAAGACAUCAACAAAGUAAAUUUUCAUGAAAUGUUUAUAUUAACAAAUUUCUACUACUGGAAUUCCCAAAGCACGGACCUCAGACCAACCCGAAUACCAAACCUGACUUCCCCCUGCUAGACUAGUAAAAACGUCUACUUUCUUAACUCGGUGAAUUUUCAUAGGAAAGAAAAAGCGCCAACAAACAUGCAUAAAGUAUUUAACUAGCCACGAUCUUUCAAAAAAUUAAUCAAACAAACAAAACCAUACACUUGAAGCAAAUGAAAGUAUACAAGGAAAGAAAGUAUAUAACAACAUUCCUUAAUUACAUCAAGCCAUCCAAUUUAACAAUUUAACAAUUUAACCAACCAUAGUUACAUAUGAACAAACAAUUAAAUGAAUUUAACAAACAAGCUCUUAACUUCAUUCAAAACAAAAAUCAUAGAACGAACAAAAUCAUCAAAUUUAAAAAUCUCACCUCCUCGAUCAACAAGGAGAAAAGUGGGUAAUCCUCCAGGCCUUGACUUGAAGGAAAGAUCAACUUCAUCAAAACCCUUACAAGCCUUUUGAUUGGCUUUUGGAUAAACCACGGUACCAAUUAAAGUUCCUCCAUAUUGAGGAACCCCAAAAUUCCCAAUUGCACAUUCAUAAACUCCUUUGAUUUUCUCUGGGGAUGUCACUUUCAAGCUAUUUUUCUCCACAACAAAUCUUCCAAAACUUAAACCACAUAGUAAAAACAAAAUACCCACCAAAAACCCUAGCUUUUCCCUCAUCUUUGCAGCUGAUUUUCAAUCUUUCUCCUCAACGAACUGAUCGAAAGAGAACUACCCAGA